GACAGAGGUGCCAAGCGUUAGGCGGAAUCACUGGGCUUAAAGCGUGUGUAGGUGGAUUUGUAAGUACCUUGUGAAAUCCCAUGGCUCAACCAUGGAACUGCUUGGUAUACUGCGAAUCUUGAGCCACUUAGGGGCUACCGGAACAAAUGGUGGAGCGGUGAAAUGCGUAGAUAUCAUUUGGAACGCCAAUGGUGAAAACAGGUAGCUGGGAGUGUGCUGACACUGAGACACGAAAGCCAGGGGAGCGAACGGG
rnacentral:rRNA from 1 species